AGGAUUUUAGUUAAUUUAUAACAUUUAAAUUGCAUUUAAAAAUUAUAUCUUC
rnacentral:tRNA from 1 species